rnacentral:rRNA from 1 species
UAAAAACCCCGACUUCGGAAGGGGUGUAUUUAUUAGAUACAAAACCAAUGCCCUUCGGGGCUCUUUGGUGAUUCAUGAUAACUAUACGAAUCGCACGGCCUUGCGCCGGCGAUGGUUCAUUCAAAUUUCUUCCCUAUCAACUUUCGAUGUUUGGGUAUUGGCCAAACAUGGUUGCAACGGGUAACGGAGGGUUAGGGCUCGACCCCGGAGAAGGAGCCUGGGAAACGGCUACUACAUCCAAGGAAGGCAGCAGGCGCGCAAAUUACCCAAUCCCGACUCGGGGAGGUAGUGACAAUAAAUACUGAUACAGGGCCCUUUCGGGCCUUGUAAUUGGAAUGAGUACAAUUUAAAUCCCUUAACGAGGAACAAUUGGAGGGCAAGUCUGGUGCCAGCAGCCGCGGUAAUUCCAGCUCCAAUAGCGUAUAUUAAAGUUGUUGUGGUUAAAAAGCUCGUAGUUGAACCUUGGGCCUGGCUGGCCGGUCCGCCUCACCGCGUGCACUGGUCCGGCCGGGCCUUUCCCUCUGUGGGACCCCAUACCCUUCACUGGGCGUGGCGGGGAAACAGGACAUUUACUUU